GUGAGUCAUCAGUUUGGCUUUCUUUGUUAACUCGCGUUGAUUCUCUGCUUCUUUUUAUAUCUUGUAUACCCUUUCCCUUCCUCUUCAACUUCAUCACUUUCACACCUCUUCACUCUUUCAUUUUUCCUCUGAUUUCAAAAUCUGAGAGUCCCUGCACCCUUGAGUUUCAUUUUGUUAUAUUCACUUGGUUUGUUCUAAUCGGAGGAACUGGAAGAUGGAGCAACCAACUGUCUUAUGAAUCCAUAAAGGUUUAUAGUCAAACGUGGAGUUCCCCAUCUCAAUAGUUGGAUCGAUUCACUACAAGAUCUAGAGAAUUAAACAAGUUGUUGUGAAUAAGGUAGGCACGAAAUCAUCAAAUUUGGCAUGUUCCCCGAUAGAGAAAUGGAUUAUGAGCCCUUUGAAACGUGGAUUUCAUUUCAUAAAAUCAUGGAGAAAUGUAUUUGGUUGUAUGGAAUAGGUGGUGUGGGGAAGAAGACACUCGUCAAAGAAGUUUAUAGGCAAGCUACAAAAGG